ACACUUUACCAUAGCACCUUGAAGACACAUGGUGUUGUUUAAGAAGCUAAGCAGGGUCCAGCCUGGUUAAUACUUGGAUGGGAGACCCCCAGGGAAUAUUAGAUACGUGUA
rnacentral:rRNA from 1 species